GGAGCAACAAGAGGAGCACUGCCAGAGUCCUGCAAAAUGACCUCCAGCAGGCCAAAAAUGUGCACGUGUCUGCUCAAAUGGUCAGAAACAGACUCCAUGAGUGAAAUGAGGGCUUGACGUCCACAGGUAGGGGUUGUGCUUACAGCCCAACACCGUGCAGGAUGUUUGGCAUUUACCAGAGAACACUAAGAUUGGCAAAUUCGCCACUGGCACAAAGCAGGUUCACACUGAGCUCAUGUGACAGACGUGACAGAGUCUGGAGACGCCGCGGAGAACGUUCUGCUGCCUGCAACAUCCUCCAGCAUGAACGGUUUGGCAGUGGGUAAGUAAUGGUGUGAGGUGACAUUUCUUUGGGGGGCCGCACAGCCCUCAAAAUGCUCGCCAGAGGUAGCCUGACUGCCAUUAGGUACCGAGAUGAGAUCCUCAGACCCCUUUUGAGACCAUAUGCUGGUGCGGUUGGCCCUGGGUUCCUCCUAAUGCAAGAAAAUGCUAG